UUAGGUUUUCUUCAUUUUCUUCAGGAAUUUUUUUUUGAGAUUCUUGUUGUUGAAGGGUGAUGGAGAUGAUAUGAAGAUGAAAAAUAGGAGAAG
rnacentral:pre_miRNA from 1 species